rnacentral:rRNA from 1 species
AACCUGCCCAAGAGAUCGGGAUAACACCUGGAAACAGAUGCUAAUACCGGAUAACAAUAGAUGAUGCCUAUCAACUGUUUAAAAGAUGGUUCUGCUAUCACUCUUGGAUGGACCUGCGGUGCAUUAGCUAGUUGGUAGGGUAACGGCCUACCAAGGCGAUGAUGCAUAGCCGAGUUGAGAGACUGAUCGGCCACAUUGGGACUGAGACAAGGCCCAAACUCCUACGGGAGGCAGCAGGU